rnacentral:rRNA from 1 species
AGUGGCGAACGGGUGAGUAACACGUUGGUGACCUACCUCAGAGAGGGGGACAACCACUGGAAACGGUGGCUAAUACCCCAGAUGUUCUUAUGUUUGGAAAGUAAGAACCAAAGCUCCGGUGCUCUGAGAGGGGCCAGCGUCCCAUCAGCUAGUUGGCGAGGUAAAGGCUCACCAAGGCGAAGACGGGUAGGGGGCGUGAGAGCGUGACCCCCCACACUGGUACUGAUACACGGACCAGAUACCUACGGGUAGCAGCAGCGAGGAAUAUUGCGCAAUGGGCGAAAGCCUGACGCAGCAACGCCGCGUGGAGGACGAAGGCCUUCGGGUUGUAAACUCCUUUUUUGAGAGAAUAGAAAGGAAGGUAUCUCAAGAAUUAGCUCCGGCUAACUACGUGCCAGCAGCCGCGGUAAUACGUAGGGAGCAAGCGUUAUCCGGAUUUACUGGGCGUAAAGCGCACGCAGGCGGUCUUUUAAGUUGGAUGUGAAAGCCCUCGGCUUAACUGAGGGAUGCCAUUCAAGACUGGAAGGCUGGAGAGUGACAGAGGAGAGUAGAAUUCCCGGUGUAGUAGUGAAAUGCUUAGAUAUCGGGAGGAAUACCAGUGGCGAAGGCGGCUCUCUGGGUCAUAUCUGACGCUCAUGUGCGAAAGCUAGGGUAGAGAACGGGAUUAGAAACCCCGGUAUUCCUAGCCGUAAACGAUGUCAACUAUGUGUAGGAGGUAACCAAUCCUUCUGUACUGUCGCAAACGCAAUAAGUUGACCGCCUGGGGACUACGGCCGCAAGGUUAAAACUCAAAGGAAUUGACGGGGACCCGCACAAGCAGCGGAGCGUGUGGUUUAAUUCGAGGCUACACGAAAAACCUUACCAAGGCUUGACAUACACGUGGUAGCGAUUAGAAAUAUGAACGACCCUUCGGGGAGCGUGUACAGGUGCUGCAUGGCUGUCGUCAGCUCGUGCCGUGAGGUGUCUGGUUAAGUCCAUUAACGAGCGCAACCCUCAUCGUUAGUUACAAGUGUCUAGCGAGACUGCCGGUGAUAAGCCGGAGGAAGGUGGGGAUGAUGUCAAGUCAGCAUGGCCUUUAUGUCUUGGGCUACACACACGCUACAAUGGUCAGUACAAUGGGUCGCGAAGCCGCGAGGCGGAGCCAAUCCUCCAAAGCUGAUCUCAGUUCGGAUUGCAGGCUGCAACUCGCCUGCAUGAAGUCGGAGUUGCUAGUAACCGCGCGUCAGCUAUAGUGCGGUGAAUACGUUCCCGGGUCUUGUACACACCGCCCGUCACGUCAUGGAAGUUGGCAGCAGCCUGAAGUCGGCUGGGCUAACCCGAAAGGGAGGCAACUG